GGGUCAGUAGGUUGGUCGUGCCACCGGUACGUACUGGUCUCACUGAUUCCUCCUUCCUGAAGAACCGUAAUGCCAUUAAUUUGGUGUUGCGGGGAAACAGGGCUGUUACUUUGAAAAAAUUAGAGUGUUUAAAGCAAGCUAACGCUUGAAUACAUUAGCAUGGAAUAAUGAAAUAGGACGAUCGAUCCUAUUUUGUUGGCUUCUAGGAUUGGCGUA
rnacentral:rRNA from 1 species